rnacentral:rRNA from 1 species
GACGAACGCUGGCGGCGUGCUUAACACAUGCAAGUCGAACGGGCCUGCCUGGCUUUGGUUGGGUGGGUGAGUGGCGAACGGGUGAGUAACACGUGAGUAGCCUGCCCUCUUCUCUUGGAUAACUGCUUGAAAGGGCGGCUAAUACGGGAUGUUCUGGCUGCCUCGCAUGGGGUGGUUUGGAAAGAUUCGGCCUGGUUUUGGUUGUUUUGGUGGGGGAUGGGCUCGCGGCUUAUCAGCUUGUUGGUGGGGUGAUGGCCUACCAAGGCGGUGACGGGUAGCCGGCCUGAGAGGGUGGACGGUCACACUGGGACUGAGACACGGCCCAGACUCCUCGGGAGGCAGCAGUGGGGGAUUUUGCACAAUGGGCGCAAGCCUGAUGCAGCGACGCCGCGUGAGGGAUGGAGGCCUUCGGGUUGUGAACCUCUGUCGCCGGUGAUGUAGGCUCUGCUUUGUGGGUGGG